GUCAGAGAAAGCCCGGUGACAAGGUGCUCUGACAUAUUUGAAAUAGCCUUGACCGAUCAACCGAUCGUCACGCGUGAUUGUGCUCAUGAAGUCAACGUUACCUUAGACUUUCAAAUUACUGAUCAUAAUCUAGCAUGCACAUUAGGUCAGUGGUCCAUUAUUAUUUGACUCAACUUUGUUUAUAUAAUGAGUGGAGAAAGUUAUGACGGAUAUGGUCAUGUUAAACAAUUAAAUGCCAACACUACUCAAGAAGAACUUGUUCAACUCUACUCAGCUUGGAGCAAGACAUAUGAUAAGG
rnacentral:lncRNA from 1 species